AAAGGAGAUCUGGGGUUUGGAUAGCAAAAGAAACUGGAAUCUCUUUUGCAAAACUGUCUUGAAGAUUUCAAUCCAAAAUUGGUGACUGUCACCUCACUCCUUCUGUGGUUCACAGCCUUCUCUCAGACAGGCUUUAAGCAGGGAGGGGACACCCCAUGACACGGUGGACCAGACAACCAUGAGGGCACUGCUCCCUCCUCUUGGAGUCAGCUCUUCAUUCCCUCUCCCUUUCCUCUGGCACCUGACAGCCCUCUUGAAAUCCAGAGGUCCCAUUCUGAGGUGGGAGUCAUUUGUUUUUAUACACUGAAAAUAAAAAGGAAGGAAGUUUCAACACAGCCCUCAGAGGCGAGACCCGCGGGCACCUCCCACGGCCUGGGGCUGGGCACUCUACUUUCUCUGCUACAGCAACCACCAGUGCAUUUGCUACCUCGGAUAACACCUCUCAACGAUCCACUGAAAUAUUUGCCUGUCUCCUGUAUUUCAUUUCCCUGGUUUCAAGUCUUUAACUUUUCACUGGCCACCAACGUAAAGGCAAAACUCGUGUCACACUGAGUUAGCUCUUCCUUCACCAGCACCAACCACCUCCCAGUGUAGUGGCGGUCGUUUGCAGGCUUUCCACCGCCGCACACCAUUCACCCGAGGGCCACCCUACUGAGCUCCUGCUCCAUCACUGGCCUGGUUGGGCACCUUGGAGCAGGGAAGAUAAGGCAAGGAAUUUUGUGGCUUCAGGGAUAACAAACACAGAGGCAUGGGAGAGCUCAUAAUGCUCUCUCUUCUAUUGAGCAAAAUCUUUUUUAAACAUUUUAUUGCAAGCCUAGGAUUUUGUCU
rnacentral:lncRNA from 1 species